rnacentral:rRNA from 1 species
ACGCUCGACACCUACAGGAGGCAGCAGUGGGGAAUAUUGCACAAUGGGGGAAACCCUGAUGCAGCGACGCCGCGUGGAGGAAGAAGGUCUUCGGAUUGUAAACUCCUGUUGUUGGGGAAAAAGAGGAUGGUACCCAACAAGGAAGUGACGGCUAACUACGUACAGCAGCCGCGGUAAUCUGAGCGGGCGUGGCAAGGC